GACCUCCGGAUUGCAAGUCGAGUCGCACGCUCUUACCGCUAGCCCACCAGCGCUAUGGGCUAGCCCAAGGGAGUUAUGGAUUGUGAAAAAAAGCUAUAACUCCCCAGGGAGUUAUAGUUUUCUUUUUCAAAUUCUGUCACUAAUUCAUACGAAUAAUGUAGGUUUACCUUUAAAAUACUGAUAUUUCUAAUUCAAUAUUUUUGUUUAUGUUUAAUAAAUUAAAUUCAUUAUUUUAAUAGCCGUUUAAAAUAUUUUUACACAAUUUUCAAUCGUGGCUGAAUGCCAGAUAGGUCUGUGCUUACGAUGCCUAACAAUGUCAAUAUGGCGGAUGAAUGUUUGAAACAUCACCGUAUUUAAGAAUAAUUUCGCUAAUUUUUUUUUCUUAACAACUGUGAUGAAAAAUAUUGUGUGGAACACCGGGGGUAAGAAUAUUGCAAACUUGGGUCUUUAAUUCCCUCCAGCUUGCGGCUGUCGGGAAUUAUCACCCUCGUGUCCAAUAUUUAACUUACCCCACCUUGUUGCACAAUGUACUAAAUUCUUUUAAGUACCUGUCAUUCAAGAUCAGCAUGAAAUGUACAAUCUACCAGCUAGCAUGGAAAAACAACUUAAGACGUGUGGUGUAUUACAGUCACUGUCACUCUCAAGGGUAAAAUGAAAUAAAUAAAGCUAAGAAGCUUUUUAGGCAGGUGUGUGGUAUCAAGUUGUGUCUCAGCUGUAAAAAUCUUAGAUGGUUGGCAGUCCUCAACUGUGCGUUUCUCCAGAAACUUCCUGCCUCGCACAGCUAAACUGUGGAAUGAACUGUCGCCUGCGGUAUUUCCGGAGCGAUACGACCUUCAAACAUUCAAGAAAAAAGCGUACUCCCAUCUUAAAGUCCGGCAACGCACUUACAACCCCUCUGGUGUUGCAGGUGUCCAUGGGCGGUGGUAAUCGCUUACCAUCAGGUGAUCCGUCUGAUCGCUUUCCUCCUGUAACAUAAAAAAAAAUCGAGUUGGAAAAAUCGAUCUAAGUCAAUGCAAUCAAAUUAUCCUACGUAUGUUUGUGUCGCAUAUUUCAUACAAAGAUCCAAAUUAUAAAACCUAAAUGUGCUUCUCGCUGACGGAAACCAAGAAUAAGUCAUGAGAAAUACGAGUAACUUCAGGUUGCUACACCUUGUUUUUAUUGAAUUCCGUUAACUCCGGGGUAUGGGGUUAUGGGUAUGUACGUUUAAGGAACCUAAUACCAUAGUUAAUUUAAAAAAAAAUAUAUAAAAAGUAAUUAAAUGUUGCAUAUAGCGUUAUUAUAACACGGGCAUUACAUUUAAAUAAACCAAACAAUUGAGAAAUGUGACAUAUCAAUGUCAUUUCGAACAACAAUCGUCCGAGAUAGUAUUUACGUUUAGUAGCAAAUGUACACACUCGUACUAAACACUGGUCAAUAUGUAAACAGGCCCUAAGGUAAGUGCAUACGCUCGUAAGUGCCUUAUGAGGUAAAAAUAAAUUAUUGAUUAUCUCCGAAAUGGAGUUAACUAGAAUAACGGUGUCUUUGAGAAAGUUACUUAAUUUAAGCUCAGAAAUGCACCCUUCAAAUUAACGGAAAAAACACGUUGUAUAUUAUAAAAUAAAUUACAAGUAAAAUAACAAAAACCAAUAACUGUACAUCAGUAUACUUAUUUGACGACAAAGUUAUCUAUGCAGUUUGUAACCAUGACGGUGUAUGGGAAUAACCUGCAAGGUUAAUGUUGUACUACUCUUUAUUGGCACACCUCAGUAAAAAGAUACAAAAGACCCACCUUACCUACCUUGUACCUUGAUACAAAAAAUAUUAUCAUAUUCCUAAAAGUACUUAUUCGUUGCAUCAGUAGGGCCGGCAAAUUCUCAAAUAACACAGGUAGUCUGACACAUGUUAUUAUUAAGAGUAACAUGUUAUUACCAACAAAAGGUAGGUACUUACUAACGUAUUGCUGAAUCACUCCCAAAAGUCCAGUAAUUCCGAAAUCAGACUCUAAAUAUAAAAUUAAAACCAAAUGAGUUGAGUGUCUUAAAAUACAAGCUUAUAAAAGUUUUGACCAAAAAAAUAAGUCAUUAAAUACAAAACUGUUCCAAUUUCAAAAGAUUAAAACCGAGUCAUCCUCGCGUUUCCCCCGUCGAGAAUCUCUUUCGCCGCCGCACGAAAUUUAUGAAAUUUAAAAAAGUUUUCUCCUAGCGGGGAAAAAUGUGAUUAAAUAUGUUUUGUUCAAGAGCAAGACAUUAAAGCGAUGUUAAGGGUGUGAUAAUGAGGGCGUUGAUAAGCGUUUAUUAGCCGGCGAGCGGCGAUCCCGAGAACGGCUCCCGUGGCGAGCGCUAUCUGGGGGAGUUAAAUCAUUUUAACGUAGUUUGCGAUGAAGACUUUUACGAAAAAAUGUGUUGUGACCUUAUAUUUUGGCUUUUAAAUUGCUUGCCUGUUGUAAUUAUAUUUUGUAUUACCAAUUUAGAUCUUAUUUUUGAAAGGUGAUCGAAGUAGUAUCACAAAUAGGCGGUAGGUACGAGUAAUACCUACCUACAUUGAGGUAGGCAGUAGCAUCAUCGUCAUCAUCCUCUUGUACAAAGAGAGGAGGCCUUGGGCCUUGGUCCAGCAAGCAGUAGAAAUGUGUGAUUAGGUAAGCAAAAACGAAAUUUCACUUUUUACUAUUUAAACACAGAUACUUACUAAUACAUGUUAAAAGGCGAAUCUACUAAGUAUAGAUAGACAAACACGUUUCUGGUGAUCUCUAAGGUACCUACCACUGCAGAAGUAGAAAUUCUUUUCGCGCACUAAUUGUUAAAAAAAGUACAAAAUAUUUGCAUCAUCUGGCACAGUUUCUGAAAGUUGGACAAGUUCAAUUUCAAUAUGAGAUAUGUCGUUUGGAUCACGGUAUUAGCGCGGGAUAAUCUAACGGCUAUAACAACAGCACCACGGCGAUCAAGGGCGACUCCGACGUGCGCCGCUCACAUCAUCGAGCCACGAGUUCCGAUGGAUGUGUCCAUUUUUUUUUUCGAAUAAAUGUGACCGCGGCGGGCAAAACAUCCCAUUUUGUCGUUUUCCAUAAGGACGCCUUGACAGGUUAUUCGUAUAGAAAUCAAGCAAACCUCGUCAUUAUCGCAAGCGACAAAUUGGGACGUUAUGCCGGCCGCGGUCACAAAUAUGGACGACGCUUUUGAUAUCAAGUAGAAAACCUCCGUGAGACUAAAAACACAAAAAAAUGAUAGGUCAAAUUAUAUAUCGGCAUGUGUGGAUCCAUUUCACGGAUCGUUAUCAAAGAGCUCUGUGUAACCGAAGUAAGUAAUAUUACUUAAUUUAGUAUUUGAGUUUGUUCGAAACGUAACUUCCGAGAACCUGUGUUCAAUAGGUAAAAUGGUAAAUCCUACUUAGAUAUACCUUCUGCGAUCUGCUUAGUUCUGAGUAAACAGCGUGUAUCUUCUUCCCCGUGUUGUUCCGGCAUUUUGCCAUGGCUUAUGGAAGCAUGGGCCCUAGGCUUGACAACUAAUACCCAUAGUUUUUUACGAAGUGACUGCCAUCUGACCUUCCAACCCAGAGGGUAACCUAACUUUAUUGGGAUUAGUCCGGUUUCCUCACUAUGUUUUCAUCACCAAAAAGCGACUGGUAAAUAUCAAAUGAUAUUUCGUACAUAAGUUCCGAAAAAUUCAUUGAUACGAGCCGGGGUUUGAACCAGCGACCUCCAGAUUGAAAGUCACACAUCGCAGUCGCACCACUAGGCCACCAGCGCUUCCAAGUUGUAAAGGUCAGAUUAAUUUUUUGAGUUAUGGAAUAUUAAGGGAAUAUUUGUUUACUUUGUUCGUCUUAAUAAGGUAAAAUAUUUCUAGUUAUGCGUGAAGGUUAUAUAGCAUUUAAUUAUGAGUUUCAUUUAUUUUAACUAAAGCUAGAGGAUGGCCUCUGGCAACAUGCUAAUACCUGUUUUAGGAAUUCCACCAGAAUUCAUGUCUUACGUAGGUAUUUGUUUUUGGCGGAACAAAAUAAGGUCAUAUGCGUAUCUGGUAAAAACACUUCUGGCCUUCGCGUAUAUAAAUUAUGCGUAGGUAAUUUGCUUUUCUGGUGAUAUGUGUCUGAAUAGUAGUUUAUGUGACUGCUACAUAAUAAAAGGCAUUAAAAUACACGAGUAUGGGUUUAAGAGUCGAACGAAGUGAGUUCCUUAGUAGGAUCACACGAGUGUUUUAAUGCCUAAUUAUGUACAGUUACAUACACUAUUUUAUCUACAUACACAUUAUAAACUUUCUAUGAUAUAUUAACUAACCCAAAUUAUAGGGCAACGUUGCUCUCUUGGCGGAGCUCGCGGAUAUGUGGUGGCGUCACCGAAAUAUUUUUAUCGCUCAUUUUACACGAAACUUUUGCUAUAGUUACUUUAAAAACAACAAAACAUAUUAUUUUUUUACUUAAAACUAAUUAAUAGAUAAACUGUACGUCAAAUGGCGGCAAAUGAAAACUUUUUUCACGCAUGUCAUGCAUUCGUAGCUUUUUUUAAAUUCAGAGACAAACUAGAGUCGAGGGGCCUAUUUCCGUAUCAUUCGAUACAAACUAACAUGCGAGAUACGUCAAAAAUGUAUCUAAUUGACAUUUCAUUUCGAAUAAAAAGGCAUCUCGGCUGAUAUUAGAAUAGAGGUCAAAUGUAAUUGCUUUUUUUUCACAGAUGUUUCAAAUUUGAAAUCAUAACCAAAUCGAUUUUGAUGUAGUUAUGAAGCAAUUAGAACAUAAGAAAUUUGUUGUAACAAAACAGUUUAUCGUAAUGUUCGCCAUUAUUUACGGAUUUUGAAGGCAUCAUCGAGGGUUUAUGAUAGUCAAUGGCGCCAUUCAUUUUCAAAAUAACAAAUAUCAAUGAAAAAUUAAACUAAGCAGCGCUUUGGCUCUUGUUUAUGGUAAAAUGUUGCCAGCGAUUAAAAACUGAUGACGUGACCGGGCGCGCCGCGGGGAAACGUGGUCGGCUUUUUGAACCGACGUCUGACGUCAUGGAUGGAUGUAAUCAGUAACAGGCGCGGAACGAUCAAUUUGAGUUCCUGGAGGAUAAGUAUCUAUAAUGGAAGACUUGUUAUCACCCCAUUACAUUUGUUUUAAGAACUAGCUUUAAGAAUAUUUUUGAAGUAUAUACUUGCUAUACCCUGUCCGGGUCCAUGUGAUACUUUAAUCUUUUGUAACAACAUAUGUACCAUGGUUUGCAAUAAAGGAAAAUAAAAUAAAAAUAAAAUAAAGCGAAACGUAUAAACCUUGAAUAUAUUAUGCUGAAGCGAUUGAUAUGAAAAUCAAAGUGAUUUGUUAAGAUUUAUUUCGUGGAAACCGUUUUCCCUCGAUAAUUACCUAUAUUUCAGUAGAUUCGAAAAGCUAUUUAGUCUUCCUUACAUAUGCAUUGACAGUUUUAGCCACAGCUCGGUGUAGAGAGCGUAGGAUCGGCGAGAUCCAGCGUGCAAACAUUUAAAUUAAUGUAAUAAAGAGGCGCGAAAUGCGCGGCUUUCGGGGAUCCGUGGAUUAGCGUCGCGUGUUGGUGGGUAGGUACAUACCUAUGUACUGCUUGUGUGCGGAGUGCCGAGCGGCGGGCGGAAAACGAGCGGCCUAUAAUUGAUGGCUAAAUAAGUAUUUUAAAUUACAACUAAUUAUUUUCCAUCGUAAUUUCACGGAAAUGUACGAACGUAUCUUGCUAUUUCAGUCAGUCUUAGUAUAAAAAGUACUGUGGUUGACUGGAGUAGCAUGACAAAUACGAACGUUUCCUAGAAAAUACCAUACCAUAUUGUUCAUUGGUUGAACCAUAGGUCCAAAAAAUAUGAAAAAAAUCUUGGAAGUAGAGCUUAAGAAAGACAUUAGAUGAAAACUAUAGCGGAUAUGAUCAGUUUAGCUGUUUUUGAGUUAUCGCAAAAAGUUUCCCCUUCAUAGUAAAAAGACGUACACCCACAGUUCAUCCCUUGGUUAACAAUCUACCAUACUUUAAGCUUCAGUUUAGCUUAUUGUGACGGAAGAGUAACUACGGAACCCUACUCUGAGCAUGGCCCGACAUGCUCUUGGCCGGUUUUAAAGACUAGAAUUAUGUAGGUAACUUUAAAACGACUAAGAGCCGUAAAAUCAUGAGCAGUAUGUUUAUCAAAUUGUCAAACAACUACCUACGUAAAACCUUUUUUUUGGGAUCAGUGUGUGUGAUAGUGAUGUAGACUAUGAACUUAGAUAGUAGGUAGUAGUAGUAGGUACAUUUUAGAAAGCCAUACAGUUAAUCGAAACUUACAUUUUCAUCACAUUACGGAAACUGCUUUACUGAUUUUAACCUAACGAGGCGACGAGCUCGUUAGAGUAUAGGUAGGUGCAAGGUACUAAUGGUCAAUAAGUGAUCAGGAUGGAAUCGGCAAAUUGGCCGGUUGCGUAUAAAUCUGGCCGCUGUCGCCGAGGCUUAGGAGUAAGCCCGCCCCUGAUAAUGGGGUUAACACGUCGCCGCGACUUAAAACUCGUUCCCCAGCGCUAUUUACGACACCGCCACCGCAUAAGUUAGCCGGCCGACUUCAUAUUUCAUUAACCGUGAUAUCGGUGGUACACGUAAGUAAAGGACUGCACAAGCACUUGAAACAUCUUAUUACUUGUAAUGCAAACCUUUUCAUAAGCAAUGAAUGAUAAUUUUUUAGUAGUUUCACUUUCAUCAACGACUAAAAUAUUUUUACUACAGCCGUU